CGCGGCCUAUCAGCUUGUUGGCGGGGUAACGGCCCACCAAGGCAACGACGGGUAGCUGGUUUGAGAGAACGAUCAGCCACACUGGAACUGAGACACGGUCCAGACUUCUACGGAAGGCAGCAGUAGGGAAUCUUGCGCAAUGGGCGAAAGCCCGACGCAACGACGCCGCGUGCGGGAUGACGGCCCUAGUGGUUGUAAACCGCUUUCAGCAGGGACGAAAAUGACGGUACCUGCAGAAGAAGUCCCGGCUAACUACGUGCCAGCAGCCGCGGUAAUACGUAGGGGACAAGCGUUGUCCGGAUUCAUUGGGCGUAAAGAGCUCGUAGGCGGUUCAGUAAGUUGGGUGUGAAAGCUCCGGGCUCAACCCGGAGAGGCCACUCAAUACUGCUGUGACUAGAGUCCAGUAGAGGAGCGUGGAACUCCUGGUGUAGCGGUGAAAUGCGCAGAUAUCAGGAAGAACACCGGCAGCGAAGGCGGCGCUCUGGGCUGGUACUGACGCUGAGGAGCGAAAGCAUGGGUAGCAAACAGGAUUAGAUACCCUGGUAGUCCAUGCCGUAAACGUUGGGCACUAGGUGUGGGGAGGAAUCAACCCUCUCCGUGCCGUAGCUAACGCAUUAAGUGCCCCGCCUGGGGAGUACGG
rnacentral:rRNA from 1 species